AAUACUCACAGAAAACAAAAUUUAUUUUUUUUUUUUGCAUUGCAAAAUCAUUUAAUUCUGAAAAAGCCCUGGGCCUUCAAUCCAUUUGCUAAGUUACGUGAGGAAACCAAAGUCUCACUAGAAAGCGUGUUUGUAAUUGCAGACCACUUGGAUGUUCAACAUUUAUUUCUGUAAUGAUUUUGAUGGUCGAAGUGGGAAACUUUCUCUUCUCAAUAACAGUGUGUAGAUUGUGUUUCAAGUAUGUAAAGAUGCAGUAAUUUUUGAAGACCACGUCCAGUCCAAUUCCAAAAUUUGACAACUUUGCUGAAAGUUGGGACAUCUAAAAGGGGGGGAAAAGGUGGCAAUGGACUCAUUAACACCAUCCUACGUUAUAAUCUUACAUCUGUCCAUGCUUCUAAAGGAGUUUAACCUCUUGAUACUCUGAAUGAUUUAUUUCCCACGUAAAAGAUAAGCAGUAACAGUGGGUGGAGGAAGGGAGAAGAGGAGUAUGCACGUAGCCUAAGGUGAGAGGAAAGAAGAUAAGGGACCUCAUAUUGCAGACUGGGACACCAGGGGCCUGAAGAAAGGAACUAUGAACACCGUCUUCGUGUCCAUCUGCUGAGCAGCGACAGCGUGCUGAGCUGAAGGCAUCUGGCUGAAGGUUUCCGUGGUCUGAUGUUCCCCAGAUGUUCAGUCACAACUCCGAGGUGGCAGGCUCUCAUUUUUAACACGAUGACGAUGUACUCGACUGGGUGAUUACCCGAGUAUAUGUUCUGCUUUGCAGAAUCUACAGAGUGCUUUUGAGCAGAUAUAUGCUUUAAUAACUUUACCCCAUCCAUGUCAUAAAGAAAGGGAAACCAGAACAAAGGCGAACACCUCACAGGACUGCACCAAGGCCUUACUUUCCACGAUGAGCUUUAGACUUUGUAGUUCUGUUGCCCAAAUAUGCAGCUGGGUUCAGAGUUGGCGGGGCCACUUCCAGUACGGGCGGGAAGUUCUGGCUUUCAGAGGUUUCCAAGAGCAGAUGUUGGGUAACACGGGGCAGUUGAGCAGGGUAUGGUUUACAGCGAGUUGUUCGGUGAGCGAGCUGAGGGAGUUGGCUUUGCCUUGAGCUGGGAGAGGCACUUUUGAACAAUAACUGUUGUUAUGUUUCCUUUCCCAAACUCUCCCAGUAGGGAGAAAGACAGCACCAAACCCUAACUUUUGGAUGUAGAACUGGAGCGGAUCCGAGGUCUUGGUUCAUCCAUGUGGUCAAAUAAAAGCGUGCCUUCAA